rnacentral:miRNA from 1 species
UAUUUUCUGCAUUCGCCCUUGC